AAAGCAAGCUGCAAUUACAGUGCUUCAUUUUGUGAAAUACUAAAUACUGCCAUUAUCCUGCUGAAAGAAAAGCUGUGUUAAUGAUUUUUGAUUUUGUCUUUGUGAGAGUAAAAUCAUGACAGAUUGACAUGGACAAUU
ensembl:snoRNA